rnacentral:rRNA from 1 species
CUCCGGUUGAUCCUGCCGGACCCGACUGCUAUCAGAGUGAGAUUAAGCCAUGCGAGUUAACGUAGCAAUACGUGGCGCACGGCUCAGUAACACGUAGUCAACAUGCCCAGAGGACGUGGAUAACCUCGGGAAACUGAGUCUAAACCGCGAUAAGUGAGGAUUUCUGGAAUGGUUCCUGACUAAAAUCUAUAUGGCCUCUGGAUUGGACUGCGGCCGAUCAGGCUGUUGGUGAGGUAAUGGCCCACCAAACCUGUAACCGGUACGGGCUCUGAGAGGAGGAGCCCGGAGAUGGGCACUGAGACAAGGGCCCAGGCCCUAUGGGGCGCAGCAGGCGCGAAACCUCUGCAAUAGGCGAAAGCCUGACAGGGUUACUCUGAGUGACUUUCGCUAAGAAAGUCUUUUGGCACCUCUAAAAAGGGUGCAGAAUAAGGGGUGGGCAAGUCUGGUGUCAGCCGCCGCGGUAAUACCAGCACCCCGAGUGGUCGGGACGAUUAUUGGGCCUAAAGCAUCCGUAGCCGGUUCUGCAAGUCCCCCGUUAAAUCCAGCUGCUCAACAGAUGGGCCGCGGAGGAUACUACAGAGCUAGGAGGCAGGAGAGGCAAGCGGUACUCAGUGGGUAGGGGUAAAAUCCGUUGAUCCAUUGAAGACCACCAGUGGCGAAGGCGGCUUGCCAGAAUGCGCUCGACGGUGAGGGAUGAAAGCUGGGGGAGCAAACCGGAUUAGAUACCCGGGUAGUCCCAGCCGUAAACGAUGCAGACUCGGUGAUGGGUUGGCUUCGCGCUAACCCAGUGCCGCAGGGAAGCCGUUAAGUCUGCCGCCUGGGUAGUACGGUCGCAAGACUGAAACUUAAAGGAAUGGCGGGGGAGCA